GACGAACGCUGGCUGCGUGCUUAACACAUGCAAGUCGAACUGCAACGCCCUUCCUUUGUGGGGUUCUCGAGUGGCGAACGGGUGAGUAACACGUGAGUAACCUUCCCUUUACUUUGGGUUAACCUCAGUAAACCGGGGCUAAUCCCCGUUAGUACCACCUGCUGCAUGGUGGGGCUUGUAAAUUUUCGGCGGUUGGGGAUGGACUCGCGGGUUAUCCGCUUGUUGGUGGGGUAGUGGCUUACCAAGGCUUUGACGGAUAGCCUGCCUGAGAGGGUGACCAGGGACAAUAAGACUAAGAGAGGCAACAGACUGAUAAGGGAGGCAAGAGGGGGGAAUAUGAAACAGAGAGGGGAAGAGUGAUGCAGCAGCGUUGGGUGUGGAAUGAAGGACUUAGGGUUGAAAACCGCUUUCGGCUGUAACAAAGCGAGAGUGACGGUAAUGGGAAAAGAAGCAACGGCUAACUACGUG
rnacentral:rRNA from 1 species